UCAUACACAAAUAUCCAUAAAAAUUAUGCAAAACAAUGAACCAAUCAAUUCCAAAACAUUCCAUUCAAUUCUUCAAUUCUAUACCAUUCCAAAAGAUAAAAGAAAAGGAAUGAAUUCUAAACCAUUCUAUACAAUUCCAAAACAUACCAUCAAUUCCAUACCAUUCCAAUUUUCAUACAAUUCAUGUCAUUUAAAACAAAACUAAACGAAAAGAUAAAUAAAGAGGAACCUAUUUGUUAGUGUCGGUCAUGCUCUUAGUCGCGCUAUUCGUCCCACUUUUAGUCGCUUUUUUGCCAACAUUUUCGACAUUUGAAUCUCUUGUAGUAGGCGUGAUUAUGUUGUCGUGUCCUUGGCUCGACUGACCCUAAUGUAAAAAAAAAUUGAAAUUACAAAGAAAAUAUGAAUAUUGAUUUAUAUAUAAAUGCUAAUUACCUCAAUCGUCUCUCGACGUAAGUCUUCCCUUAGUUCCUUUAG
rnacentral:lncRNA from 1 species